rnacentral:rRNA from 1 species
CUCGUAGGCGGUUUGUCGCGUCGGGAGUGAAAUCCAUUGGCUUAACUGGUGGCUUGCUUUCGAUACGGGCAGACUGGAGGUAUGCAGGGGAGAACGGAAUUCCUGGUGUAGCGGUGAAAUGCGCAGAUAUCAGGAGGAACACCGGUGGCGAAGGCGGUUCUCUGGGCAUGUCCUGACGCUGAGGAGCGAAAGUGUGGGGAGCGAACA